CCUACGGGUGGCAGCAGUGGGGAAUAUUGCACAAUGGGGGAAACCCUGAUGCAGCGACGCCGCGUGAGUGAAGAAGUAUUUCGGUAUGUAAAGCUCUAUCAGCAGGGAAGAAGAAAGACGGUAGCUGACUAAGAAGCUCCGGCUAAAUACGUGCCAGCAGCCGCGGUAAUACGGAGGGGGCAAGCGUUAUCCGGAUUUACUGGGUGUAAAGGGGGCGUAGACGGCUGUGUAAGUCUGAAGUGAAAGCCUAGGACUCAACCCUGGGACUGCAUUGGAAACUGUGGAACUAGAGUGCUGACGAGGUAAGUGGAAUUCCAAGUGUAGCGGUGAAAUGCGUAGAUAUUAGGAGGAACACCAGUGGCGAAGGCGGCUUACUGGACAGUAACUGACGUUGAGGCUCGAAAGCAUGGGGAGCAAACAGGAUUAGAUACCCCUGUAGUC
rnacentral:rRNA from 1 species